GGGAAAAAAUGUUACUUUUAAGUGAUCUGCUAUUCGAUAAUUUAAUUCAUACUUCGAAAUUUUGACGGAUUAAUUAAGCAGCUUAAGACUUAUAUUGUCAUUUAUGAUUAAAUGUUUAGAAUGGAACAAGAGGCAAAACCACCCACAGGAAUCACCAACAGAACUAUAACGUAAACUUUUAGAGAGUAAUAUACCAACCUCACCAGCCAAGCGCCA
rnacentral:lncRNA from 1 species